GAGCACGUAGGUGGGUUUGUAAGUCAGGUGUGAAAGCCUUCUGUUCAAAGGAAGAACGGCAUCUGAAACUGCAGAUCUUGAGUGUAGGAGGGGAGAGUGGAACUUCUGGUGGAGCGGUGAAAUGCGUAGAUAUCAGAAGGAACGUCGGCGGCGAAAGCGACUCUCUGGCCUAUUACUGACACUGAGUGUGCGAAAGUUAGGGGAGCAAACGGGAUUAGAUACCCCGGUAGUCCUAACUGUAAACGAUGGGCACUAAGUAGAGGG
rnacentral:rRNA from 1 species